rnacentral:rRNA from 1 species
GACGAACCGAGCGAACGUUGUUCGGAAUCACUGGGCUUAAAGGGCGCGUAGGCGGGCAUUCAAGUCUGUGGUGAAAUCCGGCAGCUUAACUGUCGAAUUGCCUUGGAUACUGGGUGUCUCGAGGGAGGUAGGGGCAUGCGGAACUAACGGUGGAGCGGUGAAAUGCGUUGAUAUCGUUAGGAACUCCGGUGGCGAAGGCGGCGUGCUGGGCCUCUUCUGACGCUGAGGCGCGAAAGCCAGGGGAGCAAACGGG